AAUUCUAACCAUAGGGUUUUCAAGAAAACAAAUCCAAGAAUUUCAAGAAAGGGCCUCUUGAUUGUUCUUCUUCAACUUAAGAUUCUUCAUCUAGAUUUAUGGAGCUUUUAAGAGACAGGUACUAGAGAUCAUCAACAGGCACACCGUUGAAGAUCUAUUCACUUCCAGCUAGUUGGUGAGUCCUCCUUGUUUCCGGAGGAUACCACAGUUAUCUUUUCAGCUUUGAGUUAGUUUUCCUUUAUUUUGAUUUGUGGCAGUCAUGAACCUGUCAUUGGCACCUCUUAUAUUGUUGAUAGAGGCUUCAUAGACUAGAGUGUGGAUGAUGCUGAAUUGUUUCGUUGUGACUAGUUUUAUUUUUUUCUAGUUGUUGAAUGGAGAUGUGGUUGGCCUUUGGCCUUAU